rnacentral:snoRNA from 1 species
UAUCCCAGUGAAGAACGUAAGAUUGAAAUAAAAGUAGUGGCCUGAUUGAGUUUGAUGAAAAUAUUGUUCUGAGGGAUA